rnacentral:rRNA from 1 species
AUUGAACGCUGGCGGCAGGCCUAACACAUGCAAGUCGAGCGAGCGGCGGACGGGUGAGUAAUGUAUGGGAAACUGCCUGAUGGAGGGGGAUAUCUACUGGAAACGGUAGCUAAUACCGUAUACUGUCAUAUGCGCCCAUAUGGGAUGAGCUUGUAGGUGGGGUAAAGGCUCACCAAGGCGACGAUCCCUAGCUGGUCUGAGAGUAUGACCAGCCACACGGGAACUGAGACACGGCCCAGACUCCUACGGGAGGCAGCAGUGGGGAAUAUUGCACAAUGGGCGCAAGCCUGAUGCAGCCAUGCCGCGUGUAUGAAGAAGGCCUUCGGGUUGUAAAGCACUUGCAGCGGGGAGGCGUUACUCGCAGAAGAAGCACCGGCUAACUCCGUGCCAGCCGCCGCGGUAAUAC